rnacentral:lncRNA from 1 species
CUUCAGUUUUUUUCAAUUGGACUCAGUAGAGGCACAGACUACAUACCAUUAGAGUAGAGGUUUGAGUCUGGUUUGAGCGUACUUGUCUUUAUCUAUGGGUUUGAGUAUAACUUGUUCUAUGAGUAUAACGUAUAACAAAAAACUCUCAAUAAGUUCAUUAAUUGCUUUCAGUCCGCAAAUAAAAAAACAGAAAAUGUUGAUUUAACUGUGAUCGUGCAGAAUGUUCCGGUCUCGACAAGUGUAAAUUGAGUCGGCAUUUUCAUCACUUCUACAAUGUUUAAAAGAAAAAUCCCUUGAUAUUUUUAUACUUUUCAAUUAGUGUUCCCCUUGAACCGGCGCCCUAAACUGUGUAUCCUCGGGACUUGAUAGUGGUUUAGAUAGUGAGACUAUGAAAUUAUUAACAAUUGCAUUGAUUAGUUUUAGUGUGGAAAUAUCGAUUAUUUGUGGUUUCUUUCGUUGUAAACAAAGUGCAACUUAUCACUACUGAGGAAGAAAUAAGCACAUUAAACAAUUUGGGAUUGUUUGUUCUUUUUUGAAGUGACGUGACUUGUGCUGAUGAUAUAAAUUGUAAAAAGCUGCACAGACAUGGAGGGAUAUAAUCUCUUCCAAAUACCAAGGAACAUCGUGAGGAUGUCCUUUAUUCUAAUCAAUAACUUAUAUUGCAUUCCAACUUACGUGAUUUG